CAAAAUAGUUCCUGAAAAAGAAUCACAUAUAUUCCUUACUUUAAUCAGAUUACACAGCAUUAAAAAAAAAAAAAAAGGAAACAAUACUGGAAGAGACUUAGCUUGUAUAUUCCUUGUAUUUUAAUUAGUACUGAUUCAUUAUUCUCGUCUUUCCCUUUUUUUUCAAGGGAGAUUGGGAAGAGGAAGAGGAAGAGGAAGAGCGGAAGAGGAGAGCUGGAGAGGAGGAGUGGAAGAGGAAGAGGAAGAGGAGUUUUAUACAGAUCCUGAGGCCACGUGGAAGAAAGAACACAAAGAUAAAAAAGGUAAGAGAAAGACAUGGAAGAAGAUAACAAACAGGAAAUAGAAAGAGAAAGAAGUAAAGAGAAGGAAGAAAAGAAGGGAGAGUGAGGAAGUAGAAGAGAACAUGAAAGAAGAGAGAAUGAUGAAAAAAAAGAUAAGAGGAGGAGAACAUGAAAGAAGAGAGAAAUAUGAAAGGAAAUAAGAAGAGGAAGGAAUAAAAAGAAAGAAGAGAGGAAGGAAGGAUAAAAGAAAUUGAAAGAGAAGAACAUUAAAAAUUAAAUAAGAAGACGAAGGAAUAAAAAAGAAGAGAAAGAAGAGAGAGAGAGAAAACGAGAAUGACAAAAUGCAGGAGAAGAACAUGAAAGGGAAUCAGAAGAUGAAAGAAUAAAGAGGAAUAAAACGAGAGAAGGUGAGAAUGACAAAAAUGGAAGAUAAAAACAUGAAAGGAAGUAAGAAGAGAAAGGAAUAUAAAGAGAGAGAAAGAAGAGAGGAAGAGAGAAUAAGAAAAUGGAACAGCACAUUAAAGAAGAAAGAUAAAACAUGGAUUAAGUCAGCCAGGAUUUAAGAGGCAAGGAAGUUCAUGUGCGUUCCAGACCUCCUCCUCCUCCUCCUCCUCCUCCUCCUCCUCCUCCUCCUCC